CACCCUAUACAAAAUCACUUAUUUUUAGUUUAUUUGACUUAUUCUCACAAGUGGGUUUAGACAUUUGAAUUUUGUGAUAGUAAUUUCAUGUAAAGAAGAAUAAAGAAUAAGAUUUACCCUUAAUAAUUUCAUUGUAUUUAUAAAUGCACAAGUAGAUGUAUAUAAUAUACAUUGAUAGAUGUAGCUAAUAGCAGAUAAAUGCAUAAAUGCACAGUCAUUCACAUUUUAGCUUGAUUUACAUAAAUAUCAAGUCAGGAACUUAAGCAGUAGGGUAAGAUGCUUGCAUUGCAAUGCCACAUAGUCCUUCAGCAGCAUCGACUCCCCUUUGCAUCCUAAUGUAUCCUUCUUCUCCCCAAUCAGCUCCCCAUGAGUUCUUAACCAACCAAUACUUGCUUCCAUCACUAUCGAUACCAAAACCCACAGCAGUGACACCGUGAUCGAGCUCAGUUCCACAUGAACCAGUAAAAACACCGCUUUUAUAAAAUUGAAAGUCGGAUCCACUAGCAUCAAUGGCUACAGAAAUUGGUUGAUUUGCAACAGCUUUUUGUAGUGCCUGCUCAUUGUUUGCCGGGACAUCUUCAUACCCAGUAAUGGUAGCCGCUUGGGUGGAUGCUUGGUUUGCACUGCACGUUCCAUCAACGCCUUGAUAGGGGUAUUGAGCUUCCGUGCUGAGUCCAUGAUUUUGAAUGAUGAAUUUGAAAGCAUCAUCCAUAAGACCACCCUCACAACCUUGGUCCACACCUUUUGUGUCGCAAUCAACAAGUUCUUGUUCUGAUAAAGAGAUCAAUUUUCCUGUACUCAACUGAUGAAUUCCUUCUGUUGCCGCAACAGCAGAAAAGGCCCAACAACAUCCUACAAAAGGUAAAGUUAUAUUAGCUAGAAUUUGACAAAAAUUCAAUUUUUUACCACAUAAACCUCAAUUGAAUGCAUUACUUGUUAGAUAGACACUUACCGCAUUGGCCUUGAUUCUUCACUGGCGUCACAGCUCCUUUCUUCCUCCAAUCAACUGAGGAUGAAAUUACACUUAUAUUUUCAUACUUAAAAGUAGUUGUCCUUGUGAUUGAGGAGCACAUAUGUCCUUUGAACUUGUUUCUAGAUGUUGUGAACUCCUCAUUGGUGAGGUCUGCAAAUUGGUUAAUGCCUAAUUUGUAUGAUUUCUUAUUUUCAGCAUUGUUGGAUGCUUCAAUGUAGUUUACAUUUUCAGUGAAUAUCUUAAGACGUUUCUCCAUUUCUUGAGGAUCCUUAUAGACUUUGCCAUAGUGACUCAUCCAUUGUUGAUGCCUCUCAUAUAUAGACUUGUCUCCAAGAGUGCGAGAAGUGACUUGAAUAGCCAACAAUCCCAAGGAGAAAAGCAACAAUGCAAUACUAUGAUAUACUUGAUUUUUGGCAGCCAUUAUAGCUAGUCAAGUGUGACAAACAACUGCUUCUUAAGUUGAUUAGUUAGCAGUUAAAUGUGAGAAAGAUUUGUGGUGCUUAUACUUAAUAAUCUUUCUGGUAUUUAUACUUUAGAAAUUGAAUAGUAACAUUCUUUCUAGUUUUUAACUUAAGCUUAAAACAAAUUUAUAUUAAAUAAGUAGUUACGUAUUCGGGAGAAUUUUCUGAAUGAGACCUUUGUUUGAAUAGGUUGGCUAAAAAACUGAUCCAAACGACACUUUGUCCGUUGCUAUUAUUUAGGAUUAUAAAAAUAAAGGUUUGCCAAUCACCAAUUUGCGCAUGAACGGUCGUUUGUUUUUGAGAAAAUAGUUUGAAAAUGAACAGGUAUCUACUUGAAGUCUUACGUUCUAAUAACUAUAAACCAAUAAGCCAAAGGAAAAACGGAUUGUCUUAACGAAGAAGAAGAAGACCAACAACACGAGUGAAGCAAUUAAUUUUGUUCGGAGACGUAUCUCCGGAUGCACCUAAAUCAUAUAAGUCCUUCGUAAUUCGGCCGCACAUUUCAUAUUUUUCAAAAAUGGAUCCAGAGAUACAUCUUCCAAUAUUAUUUGGAUGUAUCCGGAGAUGGAUAUCCGUAACACCUCAUGAAUUCUUUCUUAGCCGCUACAUUGUCCUAAAUUUGAUAAUUUUUUUAGGUCAACAUAUUUUAGAUCAUUUAAGGCCAUAAUUUAGAAGGAAAACACAAAAAUUAAUUGCUUCAAUUAUACUAUACAAUUAUGAAAAGAGACAUACAAUUAUCAUAACGUACCAACCAUACAUAAUUUGUUCCCAAAAUACAAAAAAAAAAUAAUACAACCAAACAUAAACUACUGGGUAUGUCUAAUUCCCCGACUUCUCAUCCGUCUAUACUGCAAGGCAUUCCUUGUCUUGACAAUCAUGUCUUCUACGAGGGUCAACUGAGGACUACCUUCCUAAAAAAAUCCAGACUCUAUGUUUGAUCUCCUCAUAUCCACAAAAUGCCGACAAACCACCGCGAUGUCCUCGAUGUCGUCAUCCCUAACCUAUAGUUUCUUCGGAUUCAGAAGAGAAGGAUAACAUGGCAGCACCACAACCCCCCGCUAUGGGGGACUAUUGCAAACAGACUGAUGAAGGACAGGUUUCUAGAGGGUUUGUACCAGAAGACCCUUCUAACUUUGAUAUUAAGAAUUUUGUGCUUUCAGGUCUAACAGACAAUCCAUUCGACGGGAACGCUAUCAGAGAUCCACAGGCUCAUCUUGCACGCUUAUACGAAACAACUUUAAUGUGCAAACCUGAUGGUGUCUCAAACAACCAAGUAAGGUUACAGUUGUUUGGUUUCUCACUCAUUGGAAGGACUAAAGAUUGGUUAUUAUUCCUUCCAAAAGGAACCAUUUGAACAUGGAAGGAGCUAGAGGAUAAGUUCUUUGAACGGUUUUUUACCAAUAGCCAGUUUACUGAGAGGAGAGUUGAGAUUGUCAAUUUUGAGAAACAAGACUCUGAGUCACUAUAUGACUCCUGGGAGAGAUUCAAGUUACUACUAAA
rnacentral:lncRNA from 1 species